CUGAAUUUGUGGGUUUGUGGAUUAUUCAAGUUUUGUUAAUUUCACAAGUUAUUGCAGUAAAUGUAACUUAGUACAAGUACACUUUUCUGAGAAUAAAAAAACAUGUACCAAAUAACUACAAUGGGUUCUUAUUUGAUUAAUCAAACUACAAUAGUGUUAAAUGUUAAUUUUAUCUUCAGACUUUUGUUUCAGAAAUUAUUUUUUUUUGUAUUUAUUUGAAAAUUUGAUUUGAAAUCAGUAAAAGUAGUAUUUGUAAUGAUGUUUUAUAGUUUAAUAAAAAAAUACUUAAAACCACAUAUUUAUUAAUAUAAAUGUAUUUCUUGUGUAUUUCAUUUUAACUAGACUAGACGCCUGUAAUGCAGAAUCAACCAGUCUCUCAAUCCAGGAGCUGUUUGUCCAACAGUGAAGAUCCAAGACCAGACUUCAGAGUGAACAGGAACUCUCCUGCAGUCUUCCUGAACCUCCUUGAUCAGGAUCGGUGACAUUGGCAUCCUCCUGCAGGUGCUGGAGCUGCAUCACACCUCUGUACCUCAUGUUGUCACAGCGUGUGCCAUCCUCCACAACAUCUGCCUCUGUGUUGACGACAACGAGGCCCCAGAGGAAGAUGUGGAGGUGAUGAGGAGGACGCUGGUUUGGAGAUCACAGUGAUGCUCUCUGGCAGGACCAACUACCGGCUGAGGUUUCUGCCCUGGGGGAGGUACCACCUUGAUUACUGGUAACAGCAUCCGUCCACAGCCAGCCCUGUAAACCCUGAAGAUAGAUGAUACAGUCUACAGUGAAGAUGAUCCUGAAACUCUCUGCAGACCACCUUGCAAGAUGUUCAAUCACCACUCAGAAAGUUCCAGCCCGGGUCUCAGUCGAAGCCCCCCAUCCAUGUCAACUAUCUUUGUAAGUAGUUGGAAAUAAAACUUACAAUUAAUCCAUGACAAACCCGGCCUCGGGAGGUCGCAGCACCUGAAUUUGGACACAGCCAAAACUCAGUGAUCACUAAAAAUUCCCAAGUACAAUACUGCAUGAUCUUUUUUUCUCUAUUUUGGACGAAUGAAAAUCUCAUUGAUAUGUGAUAGAAUGACAGACACGGUUUAAAGUUGUUCCUUCAGUUUGAUCGUUUUGAUUUUUCAUUUGUUGGAAACAGGAAAAGAUGAGAAGUGAGUGCAUUUUUUUAAACAACAGAGCAUGAAAGAGAGGCCCUGGGUCUGCAAAUCACUGAUUAAAGCUAUUGAUUAAUGUAUUUAGACUGAUCGAGGUAGAGCACAUGUAUUAACUAGGCUAGGCACAUUUUUUAUAUAUAUAUAUAUAUAUAUAUAUAUAUUUUUUUUUUUUAAUGCCGGCUUUGGUACAGAGAAGCAAUGGUGUGAGACAGUUGCUAAUGCUAUAAGGCACGUUCUCUUAUAACUGUUUAUGGCCAUUUAAGAUAAAUAAGUUAAGAAAAUACAAGGUAGCUUUUAGAAUGAUGUCACAGCAGCAGGCGCGCAUGGAUAGGGAUGCUUGAUGUAAGUUAACUUUCUGAAGUGCUUUACUUUAAGAAAUGUAAGGGAUACAUUUUAAAUCAAACUUAAUUAUCAAUACUAUAACAUUGUUCAUAUAACAUUGUUCAUCAAUAUUCAGACUAAAAAUUAGAUCUGCAUUAUUGGUGUAAAAGAACUCUGAUUUACUUUAUGAUUUCACUAUGACAAAAGUGUUUUUAACAUGUACUUGUUUUUGGAAGCCAUGGAAGCCAUAUUACAAUAAAAUUUGCAACAAGAUUGUGUUUUUAGCAUGUCUUAUUUAAAACCUUUUUAAAUUGAGAGCAGAUGAAAAAUGUGUUUUGAUAAAGCUUGUUAUUCUGUAAAAUCUACAAUGAAUAACCCCAGUGAAAUAGGUCAGAUUUAUUUAUCUAUCCUACAAUUCAAUUCCAAGGAUGAAAGGACCAAGCAGAGGAUCAAACAAGUAUGUCAGCCAAAACCAUGUUGACUGGGACAUGGAACUCGCUGCUGUUGUGUAUCAACACUACAAAGAAGGUAUUCUUGCAAUGACGUUUUGGAUUUUGCACAUGGUAAUGCCUAGUACGAUCCUUUUUCUAAGAAUGUAUUUUCUAAGAAUGUAUUUUCAAAUAUAAGUUUAAAAAAAAAAAAUUGAUGAAUGUAAGAGAAAAAAAUAAAUGCAGACAUUUUGUGAUCAGAACUCCACCUGCCAGUCCCUAUUUCCUGCUCUUCCAUCGACAUCUUCCAGCUGUGAUGAACACUGGACCAAUGAAUUGAAGUUGAACAUACUGAACAGAACAGCAGUAUACAAGUAGUCUUUUCACACUGGUAUUUUUCUCAAAGGCAUGGACAUAGAUGCACCAUCUGGACACAAGAAGCACUGAUACUUCUCCAGGGAACUCUCCAGCCUGUCUUCUGAAUUCCAAAGACUACUGCACCCAAACCUGCCUUUUCUUAUUUGAAUUUUUUUAAUUUCACAGGACAACGUGAAGACAGAAGAAGUGAGGGCAUUUUAUCCUAACACUUUUUGUGUCAAAUAAACUGUUGAUAGAUUUGAUUGUUUGCUUUUUAUUUGAAAAUAUCAUGAGUAAAAUAACCAUUGGGACAGAUAAUGACAUAGCAUUAUCGUAUAUGGGCUGAACAAAACUUAAGGUAUAGCUGUUUGAUUCUGCUCAGAAUGAUUAUGAGGUUUUUUAAAUUUUUUUAUUUAAAGUUUUGAUUUUGGGGGAGUUGAAGCAGAUGCAUCGCUGUCGCAGUAACUUGGUAUUUUUCCCUAAAUUACAUUCAGGCACUGUGUCCAAAAGUCAGAAAAAAGGGUUCAAGCUCUUUUUUAUAUUAGUUUUAGUUAGUCUAAUGGAAAUAUUAAUUUAGAAACUGCAUUACAGCUUGUAAAAUAUACAGAUACUGCAUUUGUGGAUUUGUACAUUAUCCAAGAAUUGUUUAUUUCACAAGUUAUUGAAGUAUAUGCAACUUAGUAGAAGUACCUGCCUUUUUCUGAGGAUUAAAAAAUAUAUAUAAAUUAAAACUAAAUGGAUUUAUUUUAUUAAUCAGACUAUAAUAGUGUAAAGUGUUAAUUUUAUCUGACAUUUCUUGCAGAAUUUUAUUUUUUAUUUUAAGUUACUCUCAAUUUAAAUCAGUAAACGUAGUAUUCAAGUAUUUUGUUAUUCCCAUAUUCACCUAAAUAUGAUUUUUUAUAGUUUAACAAAAAUAAUUAAAAUCACAUAUUGUUUAAUAAAAAUGUGUUUCUUGUUUUUUCUUUUUAACCAGACAUCUGCUUUCCUCCUUGACCAGGAUCGGUGAUAUGUGUCCUGCAAGUGCUGAAGGUUGUCGCAGCUAGUGCAAUCUUCCACAGCAUCCGCUCCUGUGCUGAUGACACCGUGGCCCCAGAAGACGAUGAUGGAGCUGGUUUGGAAGCCAUCAGCGCUGCUCUCUGUCAGGACCAACUAUCUGCUGAAGUUUCUGCCCUCGGGGAGUUACCACCUGACCAUGAUUACUGGUUACAAGUAGUCGAAUACAUCCGUCGGCAGCCAGUCCUGCAAACCCUGAAGAUGGACGAUGCUGUGGACAGAGAAGAUCCAUCCUGAAACUCUGCAGACCAGCCUGCAAGACGUUACACUCACCACCCAGAAAGUUCCAGCCCGGGUCUCAGUUGAAGCACAUCAUCCGUGUUGACCAUCUUUGUAAUAGUUGUAAAUAAAAGUGUUGCAAUGAAUUCA